UACGUAGGGGGCAAGCGUUAUCCGGAUUUACUGGGUGUAAAGGGAGCGUAGGCGGUGCGAUAAGUCUGGUGUGAAAGCCCGGGGCUCAACCCCGGGACUGCAUUGGAAACUAUCGGACUAGAGUGUCGGAGAGGUAAGUGGAAUUCCUAGUGUAGCGGUGAAAUGCGUAGAUAUUAGGAGGAACACCAGUGGCGAAGGCGACUUACUGGACGAUAACUGACGCUGAGGCUCGAAAGCGUGGGGAGCAAAC
rnacentral:rRNA from 1 species